rnacentral:rRNA from 1 species
UCGGACGGGUCGGAGGUAACGCGUGGAAAACCUGCCGUAUACUGGGGGAUAACACUUAGAAAUAGGUGCUAAUACCGCAUAAGCGCACAGCUUCGCAUGAAGCGGUGUGAAAAACUCUGGUGGUAUACGAUGGUUCCGUGUCUGAUUAGCUAGUUGGUGGGGUAAUGGCCUACCAAGGCAACGAUCAGUAGCCGGCCUGAGAGGGUGAACGGCCACAUUGGGACUGAGACACGGCCCAAACUCCUACGGGAGGCAGCAG